GUGCCAGCAGCCGCGGUAAUACGUAGGUGGCAAGCGUUGUCCGGAUUUAUUGGGCGUAAAGGGAGCGCAGGCGGUGACUUAAGUCUGAUGUGAAAGCCCACGGCUCAACCGUGGAGGGUCAUUGGAAACUGCGUCACUUGACUGCAGAAGAGGAAAGUGGAAUCCCAUGUGUAGCGGUGAAAUGCCGUAGAUAUAUGGAGGAACACCAGUGGCGAAGGCGACUUUUUGGUCUGUAACUGACGCUGAGGCUCGAAAGCGUGGGGAGCGAACAGGAUUAGAUACCCUGGUAGUCC
rnacentral:rRNA from 1 species